rnacentral:rRNA from 1 species
CUAAGAAUAUUCCGCAAUGGACGGAAGUCUGACGGAGCGACGCCGCGUGGAUGAAGAAGGCUGAAAGGUUGUAAAGUUCUUUUGCUGGGGAAGAAUAACCGCAGGAGGGAAUGCCUGUGGGAUGACAAGAACCGGCGAAUAAGCCCCGGCCAACUACGUGCCAGCAGCCGCGGUAACACGUAGGGGGCGAGCGUUGUUCGGAAUUACUGGGCGUAAAGGGCAUGUAGGCGGCUUGGAAAGCCUGGCGUGAAAGUCUGCAGCUUAACUGCAGGGGUGCGCUGGGAACUGCUGAGCUUGAGUGACGGAGAGGGAGCUGGAAUUCCUGGUGUAGGGGUGAAAUCUGUAGAUAUCAGGAAGAACACCGAUGGCGAAGGCAAGCUCCUGGCCGAUGACUGACGCUGAGGUGCGAAAGUGUGGGGAUCAAAACAGGAUUAGAUACCCUGGUAGUCCACACAGUCAACGAUGUGCACUAGGUGCUGGGGCGGUAGCUUCGGUGCCGGAGCGAACGUGGUAAGUGCACCGCCUGGGGAGUAUGCUCGCAAGGGUGAAACUCAAAGGAAUUGACGGGGGUC